rfam:Rattus norvegicus chromosome 1, whole genome shotgun sequence.
GGGGAUUUGGCUCAGUGGUAGAGCACUUGCUUAGCAAGCGCAAGGCCCUGGGUUCGGUCCCCAGCUCCG